GACGAAUGCUGGCGGCGUGCCUAACACAUGCAAGUCGAACGGAAAGGCUCCAGCUUGCUGGAGUACUCGAGUGGCGAACGGGUGAGUAACACGUGGGUAAUCUGCCCUGCACUCUGGGAUAAGCCUGGGAAACUGGGUCUAAUACUGGAUAUGACCUUUCUCCUUAUGGGGUUUGGUGGAAAGUUUUUCGGUGUAGGAUGAGCCCGCGGCCUAUCAGCUUGUUGGUGGGGUGAUGGCCUACCAAGGCGACGACGGGUAGCCGGCCUGAGAGGGUGAUCGGCCACAUUGGGACUGAGAUACGGCCCAGACUCCUACGGGAGGCAGCAGUGGGGAAUAUUGCACAAUGGGCGGAAGCCUGAUGCAGCGACGCCGCGUGAGGGAUGACGGCCUUCGGGUUGUAAACCUCUUUCAGCAGGGACGAAGCGUAAGUGACGGUACCUGCAGAAGAAGCACCGGCUAACUAUGUG
rnacentral:rRNA from 1 species